rnacentral:rRNA from 1 species
AUUGAACGCUGGCGGCAGGCCUAACACAUGCAAGUCGAGCGGAUGAAGGGAGCUUGCUCCUGGAUUCAGCGGCGGACGGGUGAGUAAUGCCUAGGAAUCUGCCUGGUAGUGGGGGAUAACGUCCGGAAACGGGCGCUAAUACCGCAUAAGUCCUGCGGGAGCAAGUGGGGGAUCUUCGGACCUCACGCUAUCAGAUGAGCCUAGGUCGGAUUAGCUAGUUGGUGGGGUAAAGGCCUACCAAGGCGACGAUCCGUAACUGGUCUUAGAGGAUGAUCAGUCACACUGGAACUGAGACACGGUCCAGACUCCUACGGGAGGCAGCAGUGGGGAAUAUUGGACAAUGGGCGAAAGCCUGAUCCAGCCAUGCCGCGUGUGUGAAGAAGGUCUUCGGAUUGUAAAGCACUUUAAGUUGGGAGGAAGGGCAGUAAGUUAAUACCUUGCUGUUUUGACGUUACCAACAGAAUAAGCACCGGCUAACUUCGUG